GUCCCACAAAACACGGUAACAUGACGUAAACGUUAGUAAUGUUUGAUCAAACAAAAACACCAGGGCGGUGAUAACGCCAUCAUAGUAUUUGUCUUGUCUAUCUGACGUCCCAGCAGCUUCCUCCGAAGGGCGGGAUUUAGCAGACGAACAUGAGUGACAAAAAGUCACGUGUCACUCUUGUCCCUGGGGCCAUUGGCAACACUGACCAGUCAGAACUUUGGCACCGCCUCAACCAGAAAACCCCCGGAGACCACCAGGACAAUAUCACAGAGAAACCGACGGAGCCCAAAGACAAAACCGCGUAUCCGCCGUUGGCCAAAAACACGAAAACAAUCGUUCCGCCAGACGGUACCAUCAUCCCCCCGCCCACUGCUGCUGACAUCUUGAAACAAAAGCCCAAGGCAGUCAAAGACUACUGCACGCCCGUCCAGUACCAGAACUUGCCAAACUCAGACAACUCACAAACAACCCAAAAAACCAAGGAAUCUGAGCCUAACCUAAAGAAGACAGAAGUCCCAUCUGAAAAUAACACCCGAAAGCUAAUUCUUCAAGAGCAGGAUCUAACGAAUCAGGAAUCCUAGAGCUGCACCUUGUCAUUGAUGUGCACACAGCCGAGUUAAAUCAGUAACUGCGUCAAGCCACCACCGUCACCAUCAAGAACUCUCACCAUGCCUACCCUGGAGGGCAUGCACGCCCCUGGCAACGAAAACGCCCACCUCCUGCCACCUGCCGGCUACAUCAACCCCAUACCAAAGGAAGUGUACCGCUUCAACAGGGUUGUCCCCCACUACCCGCCCGAUCCGUGCAUCCAUCCGCACGAAGGAGACGUCAUUUGCUUGCCUGAUGAACCAGCGGUCAUGAGAAAUCAUCCUUGCAUGCCAACAGCCGGGAAAGAUGUACGCAUGCAAAGUGACACCUUCCGGUUUCAUAAAGUCUACCCGCCCACCGACAACAUCCCCUGCCGGUCAGAAGGCAACAACUGCGUUGCUUCAGCGCCGAUAACUCAGUCAAGCACAUGCCCGUGUACCCACAGAUCUCCGUACGCACCCAGCAAUCCCAGAAGGCAUUUCGACUACCGCUACCCCAGCGGCCCCACCACUAUACAGCGGCAGGGCUUCGCGCCAGACGCCUGCACCCGCGUUGACCCGUCCCACAAUUUGGGACACAGCAUGGCCGUCGGGGGUAUCCAAGUCAAUAUCCCGCCGCCCAGACAGUAUCAUCCACCUCCAAAUAAUACACCAAUGGCUGGCUGGCAAGGCUAUGCGUCAUCGGGUGCUGCGUUUGGCCAAGCCACGCCCCCUAAUCAGUACGCAGUUGUUGGUGAUAUAACACACGGGGGUGAUUACGUCAUGUCCGGCCGAGCCAAUCCAAUGGCACGUAACCUGCUGACCACUCCGGACCCGAACUGUGUACGCCCUUACAAUCCAGCGCCCUAUGUGUGUAGACCAGUUUAUAACCGGAAGUAUCUGUUAGAUUGUCCUACACAAGAUGGCCCCCCGGCUGACACUUACACAUUUUUAUAAGAACACUACAUACUACAUUUUGUUCACAAGUCAAAUGACCGGCAGAUAUGAAGACGUGAAGAAUAUGUCCACCACUGGUCGCGACGAAGCCGUACGACCUCAAGUACAUGAGCCCUGGUUGUGCUGACAGGAAACCCACGCCCCAUUUCGUCACGCCCUACUUCUACGAACCGACCCCCUUCAUCAAAUGGCCGUCCACCAGCCCCUACGGACCCAGCGUGCACCGGGACACGUGCAGGAGACCGUUCUCCAUUGACCUACUGCCCCAGUGCCCUAAUUCCAACACAACCCCAGAACCUAACCUCGCAAUGUUUCUUAGCUGCUACGGAAGGCCAACCGAUUGAAAUACACCAUGCCUACCUUUAAAUAACAUUUUGUUUUUACAAAACAUGCAUUAUCAAUAACGGAACAAUACGUUAAGACUGUGAAGUAUGGACAAAACAACAUCAAAUCUAGAACAUUUGCACAAGUCAUUUGUAAUGCGCAACGAAUACAUGAUGGCGUUA